rnacentral:misc_RNA from 1 species
GAAACACACACACACGAUAGUGAGAUGUCUCUGAGAUUUUUCUUUUGCUGCUCUUUGUUCUAGUAAAUUUUGGUGGCUAAUAUCCAUGGCUGGUGAAGGAGAGAGUCCGCCAAUAGGAAUUGAUCUGGGAACAACUUACUCUUGUGUGGGAGUUUGGCAACAUGAUCACGUUGAGAUCAUAGCUAACGACCAAGGGAAUAGAACGACACCAUCUUAUGUGGGGUUCACUGAUACUAAACGUUUGAUUGGAGACGCUGCUAAGAAUCAGGUCACCAUGAAUCCAACCAACACUGUUUUUGAUUCUAAAAGGUUGAUUGGAAGGAGAUACAGCGAUGCCUCGGUGCAAAGGGACAUGAAACUAUGGCCUUUUAAGGUCAUUGUUGGCCCUGGUGACAGACUCAUGAUUGUUGUGAAGUACAAGGGUGAAGAGAAGCAAUUCACCUCUGAGGAAAUCUCUUCAAUGGUCCUCAUGAAAAUGCGCGAGAUUGCUGAGGCGUACCUUGGAACCACUGUAAAGAAUGCUGUUGUUACUGUUCCUGCUUAUUUCAAUGAUUCGCAGCGUCAAGCUACAAUGGACGCUGGUGUCAUUGCUGGCCUGAAUGUGAUGUGUAUUGUAAAUGAGCCCACUGCUGCUGCUAUUACUUAUGGGCUUGACAAGAAAGCCCGUAGUUUUGGUGAGAGGAAUGUGCUUAUCUUUGAUCUAGGUGGUGGCACUUUUGAUGUUUCUCUUCUUACCAUUGAAAAGGGUACUUUUGAGGUGAAAUCCACAGCUGGAGAUGCCCAUUUAGGAGGGGAAGAUUUUGACAAUAGGAUGGUGAACCACUUCAUUAAGGAGUUUAAGAGGAGGCAUAAGAAGGAUAUUAGUGGUAACCCAAGAGCAUUGAGGAGGUUAAGGACUGCUUGUGAAAGGGCCAAGAGGACUUUGUCAUCCACUGCUCGAACUACAAUUGAGAUUGAUUUCCUUUAUGAGCAUAUUGAUUUUUAUGCAACUAUUACCCGAGCUAGAUUUGAAGAACUUAACAUGGAUUUAUUUAGGAAGUGUAUGGAACCUGUGAAGAAGUGCUUGAGUGAUGCAAAGAUGGACAAAACCAGUGUCCAUGAUGUGGUUCUCGUUGGUGGGUCUACUAGGAUUCCUAAGGUUCAGCAAUUGUUGCAGAAUUUCUUCAAUGGUAAAAAGCUGUACAAGAGCAUUAACCCUGAUGAAGCUGUAGCCCAUGGUGCUGCAGUCCAGGCUGCAAUCCUGAGUGGCGAGGGUAAUGAGAUGGUCAAGGACCUUCUAUUGCUCGAUGUCACUCCUCGGUCCCUUGGUUUGGGGACAACUGGUGAUAUUAUGACUGUAUUGAUUCCAAGGAACAUGGCCAUCCCCAUCAAGAAAGAGCAAGUGCUUUCCACCGAUUCUGAUAAUCAGCUUGGUGUGUUGAUUCAGGUCUAUGAGUGUGAGCGAAAUAGAACCGGUGAGAACAAUUUGCUAGGCAAUUUUGAAUUAUUUGGCAUUCCCCCUGCUCCUAGGGGUGUUCCACGAAUCCAUGUUUGCUUUGACAUUGAUGCCAAUGGUAUUCUGAAUGUCUUUGCGGAGGAUAAAACAACUGGACAGAAGAACAAGAUUACUAUCAUUGAUGACAAGGGCAGGCUUUCCGGAGAGGAGAUUGAGAAGAUGGUACAAGAGGCAGAGAAAUACAAGUAUGAGGAUGAGGAACACAGAAAGAAGGUUGAGGCCAAGAAUGCACUGGAGAACUAUGCCUAUAACAUGAGAUUUAGAGAUGAUACGAUCAGUGCAAAACUCUCCGCUGCUGAUAAGAAGAAAAUUGAAGAUGCAAUUGAGUCGGCCAUUCAGUGGCUUUGUGGGAAUCAACUCGCUGAGGCAGAUGAAUUUAAAGACAAGAUGAAAGAAUUGGAAAGCAUUUGCAACCCAAUCCAAGAUGUACCAAGCACUAGCCGAGACAUGGGCAGAGUAAUAGAUGAGGAUGGUCCUUCUAUGGGUGCUAGAAGUGGCAUUGGGCCCAUUAUUGAGGACAUGGAUUGAGAAGUGGGCUGGAUACUUUUCCAAGGCUUAGAUGGGUUAAUGUCUUUUUCUUAACCUGCCGUUUGUUAUGAUAUAAUAUGAUAAUUGAGGUUUAAAGAUGAUAUAUGAGAUGGAGUUUCAAUGUUUAAGGUGAUCAUUUCCUUUUAGUUUUUGCAAUUUGUGGUGUUUUUCUUAGGGAGUUUUUUUCAUUUUUUUGGCUCUUUAUUACGUUUUCGUGGUAUUCCCUUAGAUGAAAUGCGAAGCAAUUUUAUUGCUUUACAUCCGCCACUAACUAGUAGUGCCAUUGCCAUGUGAGGCUAGAGCAACAAAGGAUAAUCUCCAGUAGAGGAAACAUUGAGUGUUUAGUGUUGCUACUAAAUUUGUAUUAAGCACUUAAGACUUUGAUUGAACACAAGGUAAGAUGCAAAAUAAUGGAUAGAGAGCACGAGCUUGGCAUGCAUGGGAAUCAUGUCUGCAAGCAAAUUGACUUGUAUGUGGUGUAUCUGUAACUUGAAGUUCACAAAGAUAUUCUAGUAAGUUUGUGGAAUAUGUAUGCUUAUUUGUUGAUAAAACAUGAAAUUGAUGCUACACAAUAUUAGUUACCUAUUCAAAAUCGUCAUUGCAUGCAAACUUUGAUUUCUUAAUUUCGUUGUGAAAAUUUCCUUUUAUUGAGACGCAUUAAUCUCUCUGUUGCACCUUUUAUUGGCAUUAUUCAAAAUUUUGAAGGUUAUGAAAUAUUAAUGUUGUAUUUAUAUUGUUAAAAAUCCAAUGUAGCACUAAAUUGUGAUAGUCUUGAAUGAAAGUAAUUGACGUCACCCAUCUUGGAUGUCUAUUCGUUGGUUCUUUAGUUUUGGGUGGAGCAUUUAAGUUGUGUAUAUAUCGUGACUGGUUACUAUAUUUGAUAAUUCAUUAGCUUUGUUUGCCACCCUUUCUCUCUCUAAAUUCCAUUUUUUUCCCUGUGAUCUCUCUCUAGAUUGUUGUAAGCAGUGCUCAGUGACGGGAGCAAAACUUUGAGACUGAUCCGUCAACUUCAACCUCGAGGUUAAUAUUUUCUUUCCUCUAUUUUUUUUAAUUCAUAAUUCCUAUAUAUGCAGGUUUUUUUAAAUUUUAUUUUGAGUGUUUAAAUGAUGAUAAAAACCAAUUUUAAUAGAGGGAUGUGAUAAGGAUCCAGUCCAGUCCUGAGUUCAUUUUUCUAUUUCGCAAUAGAUUUUAUUACAUAAAUCGGUAUUUUUGAUGUGCAAAAAGUCUAAAAGGAAGUUGUUAUGUAGCAGAGUUUCCAAGACCCCAAACCUGCAGAAUAACAGAGGAAGAAUAUCGAGGAAGAAAGAGAGAGGGAGCAAGAGAGAAAGAAGUAGAGACAUAAGUGUUUUGUUUUAUUCAAUUCUUGGCUGACCCAAUUAGUUACAAUGUUACCCUAUCUAUACAAUAUUUUCCUCCCGUACAUUCUCACAGUUCCUAUUCCCCUUAUUAUCAUAACACCAAACCACUGGAAAUGGAAAUAUUUAUUAUGUUACACUAAUGAGGAAGUUUUUGGAUGGCCUAUUGAAUAAACUUUUAAUGCUGUUAACUGCCGUUAUGCGACCACCUAUCAAAAUUUUAUAGUCGCUGCUUUGCACUUAUCUAUCACUCUGUGGGAGAUAGGACUGUGCACUCGUCGGUUUGGAUGGAAUUUGCCUCCAAACCAACCCAAACCAAAGUCACAUGAACUAUUGUGAAUUAACUUUACAAACUGACCCAACCCGAUAUCUUUAUAUUUAUUGGAUUUAGUUGGUUUGGAUGGCUUAUUCAUUUUAAGCUUUGAAACAGGAGUUGAGUAUUAAGCAAUGGAAACAUGAAACUCAUAGCAGUGGUUUUCAUUUUCUAUUUCAAUUAAACAAAAUCAUAUUAAUUAUUUAUUUUUUAUACAUAUUUUUCAUUCGGUGAUAUUUUUAUAAAAUUUAAAUAUUAUUACAUAAAAAUAAUAUAAAUAAUAGUAAAAAAUUAAUUCCCCAAAGCAUUCUGGACAGUUUCAUUUUGGGAAAAUAUAUUGCUCAAACUUGAACUUUGGAUCUACUUCUCCAAUCAUCCUUGAAAAGAUCAUUCUCAAUCAUCUGCAUCGAUCAAGCCCACAUCAUAACAUUUUUGAAGGAAAGAGCAAGAAAUGCAAAGAAACUAUAAUAAAAUAUAAGACACUUACAAGCAAUUCCGUGACAUUGCAAGCAGAGAAACUCCAACCUCAAAAUUUUUCAUGCAUGCCAUUUUGAAAUUCCAAUUUCUUGCAUCAUCCUUUAAACUAACAAGGGUUUACAAAAUUGAUUGCAAAUAAUCAAUAAAUAAAAAAAUAAUAACACUCUCUAACUCUUCUCUCUUAAAAUCUAUUUGAAGAUAUGAAUGAAAACGCAGAAUAAGAAAACCACAGCUAUCAACCAAUAAAAAUUCUCUUCGUCAGAAGGGAUAGCAAAUCAUAAGGACCUGGAGAAUAAGCAUUUGGCAAGAACGAACAUCAUAGUUUAGAAUUGGUGGAAAGAAAAAUAUGAGAAGAUAGAUGUUAGAUUUAAAAGGAAGAAUAAUCAGAGGAAAAAAUAAUCUAUCAAAGCACAAUGUGGCUUGGUGCAAUUAAAGGGCUUGUGCUCUGAGGAGUCAACGGUGAAGCUGAAAAUCUUUGAGGUUGUCGGCUAGAAGAGCUGAAAAUCGUGUGAUGGGAGAUAUUUUGGGGUUUCUUGGUAGUAGUUGGAUAAUUCUAGCAACUGACCAAGAAAAAGAGAGAAUCUAAAGAAAAUAAGCCAACCGAUCCAAACUCAUGAAUUAAAGCAAAAUAUCGGGUUGGUUUGGGUAUGGUUGACCGGUUUGGUUGGUUUAAUUUAAAUCGUGGACAGCCCUAGUGGGAGAAAAACUAAAAAAGAUUUCCAAGGGAACUUUUCCUUUUAAAUUGAUUGCUUAAAGUUGUUUAAUUAAAUGAAUGGAUACUAGGGACCUUGGGCAGUGAUGAGAAACCCAGUGUCAUUUGUUUGGAACUAAUAAUCUAGGGGUAAAAGAGGCUAGGAAAACCAUUUUAGCAAAGAAUUUGAUACUCGUUAACAAAUCUGGUGAGAGAAAACGUUUACUAGAACUACAGGUACUCUGAAAAAACAAAUUCCAUUUUAUUGGGAAAAUUUUCUAAACAAGUAGGAUAAUGAUAAACUAAAAAUUACCAUAUGAGCCGAAAUUGGGAUAGUCGAAAUCAGUUCAUUGGAACUAAAACUUCUUUAAGUUUCCCCUUGUACAAAUUUUGGGUGGUAAUGUCAGUUAAUUCAACCCUAUAAUUAUCCAGCAACUACACGUCAACUCAAUUGGUUUGAGACUAAUGGUUAAUUGAGUUUAGCUCUUGGCCAGUCACUUGGUUCAAUGGCCUGUGUCCUCGUCUGCAUUCUCCCAUAGUCCCAUUUAAAUAUUUUCAUUAUGCAAUGAUAAACCUGCUGACCAUCCCUUGAUAUACGUUUAGACAAUUCAUGGUGGAAAUGGAUCAUUUAUUUGCUUUGUUUGUUUACAGGAAGAAUUGGAUGGCCUUGCUG